rnacentral:rRNA from 1 species
GAUGAACGCUGGCGGCGUGCCUAAUACAUGCAAGUCGAGCGAACGGACGAGAAGCUUGCUUCUCUGAUGUUAGCGGCGGACGGGUGAGUAACACGUGGAUAACCUACCUAUAAGACUGGGAUAACUUCGGGAAACCGUAGCUAAUACCGGAUAAUAUUUUGAACCGCAUGGUUCAAAAGUGAAAGACGGUCUUGCUGUCACUUAUAGAUGGAUCCGCGCUGCAUUAGCUAGUUGGUAAGGUAACGGCUUACCAAGGCAACGAUGCAUAGCCGACCUGAGAGGGUGAGCGGCAACACUGGAACGGAGAAACGGACCAGACAAAGACGGGAGGAAGAAGGAGGGAAUAGUCAGGAAGGGGAGAAAGCCUGAAGGAGCAACGCCGCGUGAGUGAUGAAGGUAUUCGGAUCGAAAAACUCGGUUAUGAGGGAAGAACAUAAGGGUAAGUAAAUGUGCACAUCAGGACGGUACCUAAUAAGAAAGCCACGGCUAACUACG